rnacentral:rRNA from 1 species
UUUUGCGCAAUGGGGGAAACCCUGACGCAGCAACGCCGCGUGAGCGAAGAAGGCCCUCGGGUCGUAAAGCUCUGUCAAGUGGGAAAAAUACCCAUCGGUCAAUAGCCGGUGGGCUUGAUGGUACCACUGGAGGAAGCACCGGCUAACUCCGUGCCAGCAGCCGCGGUAAUACGGAGGGUGCAAGCGUUGUUCGGAAUUACUGGGCGUAAAGGGCGUGCAGGCGGUUUGGUAAGUCAGGCGUGAAAGCCCUGGGCUUAACCCAGGAAGUGCGUUUGAAACUGCCUUUCUUGAGUAUGGGAGAGGAGAGUGGAAUUCCCAGUGUAGAGGUGAAAUUCGUAGAUAUUGGGAGGAACACCCGUGGCGAAGGCGACUCUCUGGACCAAUACUGACGCUGAGACGCGAAAGCGUGGGGAGCAAACAGGAUUAGAUACCCUGGUAGUCCACGCCGUAAACGAUGAGAACUAGGUGUAGCGGGUAUUGACCCCUGCUGUGCCGAAGUUAACGCAUUAAGUUCUCCGCCUGGGGAGUACGGCCGCAAGGCU